AAUUUAAUUAAUUAAAAAAAGAAAAGAAAAGAAAAGAAAAAAAGGAAAUGGAGACGAAGAAGAAGAUGACAGAAGCUCGUCUUCCUCCGGUAUCGCCCUCACGAUCUUUCUUCUCUCCCAACCUUACACUUCUCUCUCAAGCGCGCUCCUAACCCUCAAUCUCACUCAAACGCUCUCUCAGCUCACAAUCUCAAAGAAACAUUCUCUCUCAACUCUCACAAAUAUUUUCAAACAACAAGCAUAUGAGAAGGAUAAAGAGAAAGAAAGAGAGGUCCUUACAAAGUGUCACUGCGGUGGUGGUGAAGGAUGCGAAGCUGGCCUCCAGGGUUUCAAAAGGGUCCUUGAUGUUCCAGAAAGGUAACUCUGCAAAGCACUUUGGAUGCUCAGAAAUUGGAUUGACCUCUUUGAUGCUAGGUUCGAAAAUUGUAAUCUGAACCUUCGCUUUCUUCCUUGAAUUUCAUCUCUAUUCCAAUUUGGGAAUUUCUUGAAUUUUUACUGCUUGGUAAUUAAUUUUGCCUUUUUACUGCAAUGAAAAAUGGUGAGCUUGGUUUGAUGCAUCCUUGUUCAUGGUUUAACAUCUUAUUACAGAGGGUAAUGUUCAUUUCUCUUGCUGUUUUUGUUUUGAGAUCUUGGUACUGCUGCAAGUCAGGUCUGUUAGCUGUAGUUGCUUGGGACUUCAUGGUUCCGUUUGAGUUUGAAACAGGUUUUGGUGGUUUGGCUUGAUACAAGUUGGUACAGUCAUGGUGUUGCAAGGCAAGCAAGGCAUGUGUUUCAAAUAUAAAAUGGAUUAUGGUAUACAUUUGGUUCAAUUUUGGCCUGUGCAUGAUGGCAUGGUAGGGAGAAUGUUGAUGUUACUAACUUGUUAACAUGUUCAGUAGGUUCAUUGACUUCUAUUGCAUUGGAAUGGCAGGAUGUAUCACAGGCAUUUGCUUUGGCCUUGCUACGACAGCUAUUGUAAGAUUGUCUUGGUUCAUAGUUUGGUAGGUGAGUCCUUUGUCUCAUGUUCUGGUUCAAUGCCUUAUAAGUUUUAAUCCCACUAUUUGCACUCAAUUCCUUGCCCUCACUUGUUUCUCUUGCUGCAACAUGAACUUGGCCUAUCAUGUUCAAGCUAAGGUCUAGCCCUGGUAGCCUAUGAUGCAAGCUUGGAAACUGUUUGGCUUUGAGGUGUGCACAUUGUGAUGAAGGUGUAAUGUUGCUGCUCACUUGGUCUUGCAAUGUCAUGUUGGAUCAUUUUUCAGUUCAGCAGGAUGACCUUCCAGCUAGGCAAUGUUGGCUGCAAUUUCGCAUUAGGUCCUGCUUGCUUAUGCUCACAACAGAUUAUGACUUGGACAUUGACAACAAACUUAAGGCUUUAGUUUCAUGAUCUGGUGGUCAUGUUGUUUGGUGAUGAUGGAUUGCAUUUGCCAAGUUAUUUCAUGCUGUUUUGGACUGAACAGCUUGCCUGCUUUCACUAAGAACCUUGGUUGCAUGGCUUGGUUUCAAUUCCCAUAUCAGGAUAACUAGCCUGGUUCAGCUAGUAUACACCCUCGUAAGGACAGUAGCAUCAUGGUCUAUAUGGAUGGAUACUUCGAUGUGUGAAGUUGCUAUGGCCUUGCAGGUUCACAUUGAUCUCAGGUCACAAAUGGAGCUGUUUGGAUCAUGGAACUGUUAUGACUGAACCAUGCUAAGUGCUUUCCACUCUUGAACUUCUUUGUAGCUGUUAUGCCCUGCUGUUGUUGUGCCUUGGCUUGAUGACUAUUUUGGAUGCCUGCUGCAUGUUGUCUUAGCAUGAUUCUAACAGCAUUGCAUUCAAACUCUGAUGUUUGGUUGGUUGUGUUCCUGAGCCAUGACACUAUCUAGAACAGUACUUUGCAUUACAUUGCCCUGAUAACUGAGUCUGCUAACCUUGUUUUGCUGCAGGAUUUACGUUGUAGCCGGCUAGCAUGAUGAUGAUGGUAUGGUGCUUUUGCAAAGUAGGAUGUCACAUGGGCUAUUGCAGCAGUAUUGGCUAGAUCAUUCGCAUCCAUGGAUUUGUUGCACAUGUAUAAGGUUUUUGUUGCAUCCAAAGGGCAUGAGCAAAGGAUAAUGGUUGAACUGUUAGGGGCUCCUUGGUCCAUGGUUAGGGGCAGGCCAAUGGCAAAUGGUUAAUGGUUCAAAAGCUACAAAGUCAAGGUGCACCACAUGUGUUACUUGUAAUGGAAGCUACCAAGAACGAACAUAAAUAAGCAUGAGGGUUGGAUGACACAUUGAAGAAAAAGGCCAGGCCAAGUUGGAUGGGCAAGAGCAAGUGAAAGUUGACUUUGGUCAAAGUUGACCAAAAGUCAACUGUUGACCAAAGUCAAACAAAUGGUCAAAAUGUAUUUUCUUUUUGAUUUCUUUGUAAAUGGAUAUUCAAUGGAAAAUUAUGGGUGAAUUUUAGGGUUUGGGGAAGUUGGGUUGACUUUGGUCAAAGUUGACCAAAAAGUCAACUGUUGACCAAAGUCAACAAUUGGUCAAAAAUGUCAAAUUUGUAUUUUCUUAUGUAGAAUCAAAUGUAAUGGUUUAAAAUGACAU